UGGUCUAGUCAGUCUAAUUAAGCAAAAUGAAUUUUUAGUUUAAUCCCCCGAAACUAGGUGAGCUACUUCGAAACAGCCACAAGAGCAAACCCGUCUCUGUUGCAAAAGAGUGGGAAGAUUUUUAAGUAGGGGCGACAAACCUACCGCACCAAGAGAUAGCUGGUUACUCAAGAAAAGAAUUUUAGUUCUACCUUAAGUUUAAUUUAGUCUACUAAAACCUUAACAAAACUUAAGAGCUAUUCAAAUAAGGCACAGCUUAUUUGAAAAAGGAUACAACCUUCUAUAUAGGGUAAAAUAUACUAGAAAAAUACUAAGUGGGCCUAAAAGCAGCCAUCUUUCAAAAAGCGUUAAAGCUUUAUAAUUAUUCUUUAAAAAUAACCUAAAUAUUUUUUAACCCAUUAUUAAUAUUGAGCAACUCCAUAAUAAUAUGGAAAAUCUAAUGCUAGAACUAGUAAUAAGAAGCAGAACUUCUCCAAAAUGUAAGCCUAAGCCACUUUAGACACCCUAUUGGCAAUUAACGUUUAUGAGCCUACUUUAUUAACACUUCAAGAAAAACUUAAACACCUCAACGUUAAACUCACACUAGAACAUUUCUGGAAAGAUUAAAAGAGAAAGAAGGAACUCGGCAAAUCAUAACCUCGCCUGUUUACCAAAAACAUCGCCUCUUGUUACAAUAUAAGAGGUCUAGCCUGCCCAGUGACAAAGUUCAACGGCCGCGGUACCCUAACCGUGCGAAGGUAGCAUAAUCACUUGUUCUUUAAAUGAGGACUUGUAUCAAUGGCAUCACGAGGGUUAAACUGUCUCCUUUCUCAAAUCAAUGAAACUGAUCUCUCCGUGAAGAAGCGGAGAUAAAUCUAUAAGACGAGAAGACCCCAUGGAGCUUUAAACCCAGCUACACCCCCAUUCAAUUCUACUUUUUAUCUUCAGGCCCCUGUAUUGCUGGUUUUAGGUUGGGGUGACCACGGAGCACAAACUAGCCUCCAUAAUGAAUAGACCCUAUCUUUAUCCAUGAACUACACUUCUAAGAACUAGAAUUCUAACAUAAAAUGAUCCGAUAUUCGAUCAACGAACCAAGUUACCCUGGGGAUAACAGCGCAAUCCACUUCAAGAGCCCCUAUCGACAAGUGGGUUUACGACCUCGAUGUUGGAUCAGGGUACCCCAGUGGUGCAGCA
rnacentral:rRNA from 1 species